UCCGAGUUGUCCCCGGCAGUCUCCUACGAGUCCCAGGCAUUACCCGCUGGCAACAUAGGACGAGGGUUGCGCUCGUUGCGGGACUUAACCCAACAUCUCACGACACGAGCUGACGACAACCAUGCACCACCUGUGCAGGACCCUUGCGGACCCCCCAUCUCUGGAGGAUUUCCCUGCAUGUCAAGCCUUGGUAAGGUUCUUCGCGUUGCGUCGAAUUAAACCACAUGCUCCGCUGCUUGUGCGGGUCCCCGUCAAUUCCUUUGAGUUUUAGCCUUGCGGCCGUACUCCCCAGGCGGGGCACUUAAUGCGUUAGCGUCGGCACGGGAGGAGUCGACACCUCCCACACCUAGUGCCCAUCGUUUACGGCGUGGACUAC
rnacentral:misc_RNA from 1 species